ACUAUUUGUAUUUAGAUAGUACUAAUGGCUCUUCUGGUGAUAUAUCAUAUAUACAAAGUCCUGUUUUAAAAGUAGUUUCUGAGACGUGCCUUUCAUUCUGGUAUAACAUGUAUGGUGAUGAAAUGGGGCGAUUAAAUGUGACUGCUAAUGGAAAACUUGUUUGGACGCAUUAUGGUGACCAUGGUGACACAUGGAUUAACAAAUUGAUAAAUAUUGAUCUAAUGGAAAACCUUACGAUUGAGUUUAUUGGUAUAUUUGGAACCGGUUAUGAAUGUGACAUUGCAUUGGAUGACAUAGCAUUAACACCGGGAUCAUGCUCAGGAGUAAAUACAGAUGCACAAACAUGCGCUAAUCUGAAUAGAAUUACAAAUUUGGAAACCUGUCCAAAAGAGUAUUUAUAUACGGAAGAUAUUAAUUUAUCAUUUGAACCUGAUAAAAAGAUGUGUUCUGGAUACAGUGACAGGAUCACAGAAUCAUUUCUCCACAAUUGUACUACCUUGAACAAUAAAUCAAGUUGUGAACUUAAUUUGUCAGAGUACGUUCAACGUUUUCCUAUAUGUUUUCGGCUUCAUGAUUUGCUGAUACAGUAUAAAUGUGAAGUUGAAGAAACAACAGUUCCUUUACUGUCUACAUCAGAAGCCCUAUCGGAAGAAACUAGCACUGAACCAAUUGCAUCAAAAGUAAAGAAGAAAUCCGAGAAUUUAAAUUACACAGGUAAAGGAAAAUGAUUACUUGUAUUUUGUCGUUAAAAGAGAGGUGAACCAAUUGCAUCAAAAGUAUAGAAGAAAUCCGAGAAUUUAAAUUACACAGGUCUGGUUGUUGGACUAGUCAUGGGUUCGUUAGUGCUUGUGUUGAUUGUAGUUGUGAUAGCUAUUUUCAUCAGGAGAUUUUCAUCCGUAAAGAACAAAUUAGAAAAGGUUGACAGACUUCAAGGAAAUGACUAUAUUGGUCAGCAAAAUAUAGCUAUGCCACAGUCUUUAGGUCCAACUGAGCAUUUGCAAUACAAAGAUAUACAAUCUGAAAGAAAUAAUAGGAAUCAUGGCUAUGUGAAUGCUGGUACACCUAUUCAAAAUAACGAUUCCCAGUAUAAUUAUUCCAAUAUAACUACGACAAACUCUAAUGUGAAUAAGAGCGUAAAGGACAAUGAUCUUACAAAUGUUGCACUUCAGGAAGAUGUACCCCGAGCUAAAUAUGUAAUGAAUGACGAUGAGUAUGCAAUUGUCGAUCCAACAGCAAAAACAAGCAUUUAUCUUUCCAAAGAAGAUAAAACCAUGGCUACAGAAAAUUAUAUGGUUUUAGAUCCCAACGAAAUGGGUUUUGACAGGUCAAAUUUUUCCCACAAAAACCAACCUUAUGAGCUUGCUAAGCCAGUCAGUGACAAGUAUACAGAUGACGAAAAUGAUCGGUAUGCUGUGUCUCAAGAAGGAACGUACGACUAUUCUGGAAGUAACCGUCUAAAUGAAUUAGAGGAUAACAUUUAUAACCAUGCUGUCGAUGAUGUUUAUGAUUCUGGAAGUCUCAAAAGAACAAAUGAAGGGAAAGAUGACACAUAUGAUCAUUUCUUUGGACACACAACGGAGGAUGACUAUGAUAUAUCAAGAAAGACCUGAGCUGGUUCAUGAAAUAUUAUCUGUUUUGUACAAUUAAGUUAUCAGUUUGAUUUUGUUUCAUUUGACCUAAUGCAGUUUAUAGCAAAAUUCUAUUCACAGUUAAGUAAGUGCUGAUCAAUUGAGGGCAAUAUAUCUAAUUUAAACUAUAUUUGUUUUCAUAUUUGUAUUUCAAUAUGUAUUUAACCAAUUGUUGGGAGAGAUAUUUUUCUUUAUUCGUUUUCUACAUGUGUCAUUAUAGAAUUGUCAUUUUAAAAACAACUAAAUAUGGCAACAUUGUGCCAUUUUUUUAUUGCUUUGUUUCUAAGUUUACAUUUUAUUUAUCAUACAAUCCUUUUCGUGCAGAUUUGUAUAUAAAACAGAAGAUUUUAUUUUAUUGAACACCUUCACGUAAAUGUAAGACAUAAUAUAAAACUGAUAGGCAGUAUAUUUCCUGGUACUAUAAAAUCACUUUCAGUUUUGUCAAUCAAAAAAACAAGAGCAUACUGAUGUACACGUGAAAAUCUGAAACAACGAAGCGUCACGUAUGCGUACGAUUCCUUUUCCGAUACAUGACCCUCUGAGUAUCUUCACAAAGCGCAAUUACACAUUGUCAUUUAAGUCAAAACCCUACGCCGCUUUCAAAUGUCUUCAACUGUUUCGGUUGUUAUACAACAUUACCUUUUAAAUAUUCGGCUUUGGGCGUUUCUGACGAAUCUAGAAAGAGCUUUGGAAGCAAGAAAUUUAUAAAGUGCUGUUUUCGGAUUUUUUUCAACGUAUUUUUUUUAAAAACAAUUAUCACACACCGACAAGUUUCAAAAAUGUUACUUGUACAUGUAUACACUAGUGGGUUAAUAAGUAGAAAUUCCAAAAUUCCAAGAUAAAACUCAUUUAUCAGAUAAAUUUAAAUACAAUACAUUAUUAUAUAUUAAUAUAGUGAAUGGCUUCACCGAAUUCAUACAUCAACCAAUCAACACAAGAAGCGUAUUCAUAUAUGGUCUCUAACAAAAAAUAAUUUCUAUCAAUGUCAAACAUAAAAUCGGCCCCGAAUUGACCCCUCCCCUUGUUAAUUCCUAUCAAUAAAAAAGCAACAGGUAUACACAAAAUUUUACAAUUCAAACCAGUACUAAAAAGCAUUUCACUUUAUAAUUCCGGAAUAUAAUAUAACAAAAUACUAGUUCAAACAUGACAAUGUAUAAACCAUUCAGACUCCAAAUAACAACGACAAGUAUUUGUGAAAUUUGUUCGCAGAAAAGUUAACUUUAAGAAUAACUAUAUAUACGAGUAUUUAGAAUAGUUUGAUGUAACUUACCUGGGAUCGAUAACUCAUCGAAACAAUUUUGUUUUUCCACUAACAUGUCGUAGCGUGAAUAUCUAUACACAGUUUACUGCAUAUAUGUACCAGUAUUAUAUCUUACAUUCAAAAGUGUUUAAUCAUUUAACUCUUAUAAGUGCUUUCAAAAUGUUCUACAAUAAUCUAAUAACAUUGUUUUGUUGCGGAAAAAAAACCAGUCAAUUGGAUUGUUGAUUUUAAGGCAAUUGGACUAAUUAAAAGCAAACUGUUAUGUAA